CCCAACCGGAGGCACCGCGGCCACGGGGGGGGACUCUUUUUGCUGCAGGUUUAUUUUGCCUCGGGCUGGAUGGGGGUAUGAUUUGGUUUGGGUUUAUUUCGCUUCUCUUUUCCCCUCUUCAUUUGAAGUAUUUAGCCAUCCCUUUCUAGAAGAAAACAAAAGGGCUUGCUGACGGGACCCCAGAGCACACAAGUCCUCCGGCUCCCAGAGAACCAACCUUUCGCACUGGCGGCCCCGGGGACGGCAAGGGAAAGGCUGGAGGCACCAAGCACCGCUUAGGCAAAAGUUACCAUAAAUAGUGCGAGAGGGGGCCGAUCUGGCUCUCACCGAAUUCCUGGCAGUUUUUACCAGUCAUUUCAACGAAAGAGCGAGCAUCCCCUUUGCGGAGAAGGGAAGAACAGGGGCAGACGGCACCUGAGCCCCGCAGACCAUGAGGCAGCGGGUUGAGCGCCGAGCGGGAGCCCCGCUCUCACCUCGGGCCUGGGCUAUUCUCUUCCUGCACCCCCAUUUCCUCGAGUAUCCCUGAUCUUCAUCUGAAUAAUCCAACAGUCGAGGAGGAGAUGGGGCAAAAACUUGAACAGAAAGUGUGUUUGUCGUUCAAAUGGCAUGAGUGCGAUCAAAAGUUCACAGAUGCCCAUGAACGGUGCCGGCAGGGCGCCAUCCUCCCUCUCUCCAGAGAUGCCCCUUUAGCCAUAGGGUGUGUGAGUCUGGCUGACCGCUCCCCGAUUAGCCCAAAGUGCUAGGAAAUGGGGCUGCCACGAGACCCCCGGCCUUAUCCUGGGCGGAUUGCAAAGGGCGUGAUCAAACCUUGCCCCCAUGUACAUGUUUCACAAUGCGGCGUGAAGUGGGCAGCAGCGUAUGGAAAUGAAGCGGGAGCACCCAAGUCGGGAUGCUUAACCCUGGCCCAUCCUCCGUGGACUUUUCCCUCUCCCCCCAGCCCCCAGCUAGUGCAUGUGAAUUGCUGGAAGUCCCUCCGACCGAAUGCCGGGAGCUGGGAAGCAUAAAGCAAUGGUCUUUGGGUUAAACAGGCACCUCUGCCUGGUAAAACACCCCGUGCCGUUCCGUGCCUGCUCUCCUUUGUGUUAUCUCUAACGCUGCCCAGGCCUCGCAGAGUUAUGCCGUAAAGGCGACGUCCCACGUUAAAACAAUAUGAAUUCGCGGACGGAUCUUGAAUAUGAAUGAGAUCCAGCUGUCAGAACCCCGAAAUAUCUCCCGCGCCUCACGCCGCAGAUACCUAACGUGCUUCUACCGGCCCCGUCCCCCACCAUCCCUUCCUCCUGCGUUUAUUCUGUGAGAGGGAUGCUCAGAGGAGAGGAGUCAGGGCAAAAAGAUGGAGAAAGGUGACGAUUUCCAAUAGCGAAAAAUAAAAAUAAUUCUUGGCGGGAUGGAGGAUAACGUCGUGGUCACACUAGAACCAGUCAGUCGGGCAAAGCAGUUUCACUCCGCCAGUGAAACCGCUCUCGGUGUCAAGAGCUUUCCCGCUCCGUAUGCUGGAUGCGGGAGGAAUUCAGGUUGCUGGAGGCGAUGCUCUGUUCGUAUGUACCUCUUUACGCCUUCAGAUACGGGACCUCACCUAGUUAAGUUUCUAUAGAGAGAUCAGAUAAUGCAUCCCUUCGGAUUAUCUUUCUAAACUGACUUUUAGAUUUGGUUUUAUAGUCCGUUGAGACCCUGACAAAAGAGGCUGUAGCUAGAUACAGAUACGAGAUAAACGUAUAAAGCAAGCUCAUUACACCGGAAUGAGUGAAGAACUCUCCUUGCAAUCUACUCUAGAUGACGAGUCUGCCCGAAGAAACAAGUAAAGCCGAGAUAUUUAUUUCUUUUCCUAAUAAAUAAACCUCAAUAACUGCA